rnacentral:rRNA from 1 species
UACGUAGGGUGCAAGCGUUAAUCGGAAUUACUGGGCGUAAAGCGUGCGCAGGCGGUGAUGUAAGACAGGCGUGAAAUCCCCGGGCUUAACCUGGGAACUGCAUUUGUGACUGCAUUGCUGGAGUGCGGCAGAGGGGGAUGGAAUUCCGCGUGUAGCAGUGAAAUGCGUAGAUAUGCGGAGGAACACCGAUGGCGAAGGCAAUCCCCUGGGCCUGCACUGACGCUCAUGCACGAAAGCGUGGGGAGCAAACAGG